GAUGAAGAACGCAGCGAAAUGCGAUAAUUAAUGUGAAUUGCAGAAUUCCGUGAAUCAUCGAGUCUUUGAACGCACAUUGCGCCUCAUGGCAUUCCGUGAGGCAUGCCCAUCUCAGCGUUAGAAAAUAUUCUCAAAUUUUAGUUUUGUGCUAAAAUUUGGAUCAUGUCAAGGAAGCUAUUACUAUUAUUGUGAUCGCUCUUUGGAAAUUGAUAGGUCUUUGAGUUGCUACUCAUAGAACGUGAUGAAUCUUUCUUCGUUCUAUUGUAAUUCACUCUGGUAGUCCUAAAACUUGUAUGCCUGUGGCAUAUCUUGUAAUUUGACCUGAGAUUGGGUAGGGAUACCCGCUGAACUUAAGCAUAUCAUAAGCGGAGGA
rnacentral:misc_RNA from 1 species